UUGAACGCUGGCGGCAGGCCUCACACAUGCAAGUCGAGCGGAUGAAGGGAGCUUGCUCCUGGAUUCAGCGGCGGACGGGUGAGUAAUGCCUAGGAAUCUGCCUGGUAGUGGGGGAUAACGUCCGGAAACGGGCGCUAAUACCGCAUACGUCCUGAGGGAGAAAGUGGGGGAUCUUCGGCCCUCACGCUAUCAGAUGAGCCUAGGUCGGAUUAGCUAGUUGGUGGGGUAAAGGCCUACCAAGGCGACGAUCCGUAACUGGUCUGAGAGGAUGAUCAGUCACACUGGAACUGAGACACGGUCCAGACUCCUACGGGAGGCAGCAGUGGGGAAUAUUGGACAAUGGGCGAAAGCCUGAUCCAGCCAUGCCGCGUGUGUGAAGAAGGUCUUCGGAUUGUAAAGCACUUUAAGUUGGGAGGAAGGGCAGUAAGUUAAUACCUUGCUGUUUUGACGUUACCAACAGAAUAAGCACCGGCUAACUUCGUG
rnacentral:rRNA from 1 species